CAUUUUGAAACUGAUUGGCAUAUUACUACAUAGAAAAUAGAAAUUUGAUACAAUUAGCUUAGUUUACACUAACAUGCAAGAACAACCCACGGAUAUGUUAACUAAAUUGCUAGGAAGAACAAAGUUUGAGCUUGAUCAGAACAGACUCAAUCUAAGAGCUCUCAAACAAAGUCUUUUGUUGCUGCCUUUGUUCUGAACAACUUAAAAUCUGCUUUCUUGUACUCCUUCACCUCCCUUUCACAAUCUGACCAACUCAAAUACACCAUGAGUGUGUAUCCACGCUGGACUGCAUAAUACUUCACCAA
rnacentral:lncRNA from 1 species